AGAGUUUGAUCAUGGCUCAGAUUGAACGCUGGCGGCAGGCCUAACACAUGCAAGUCGAGCGGUAGCACAGAGAGCUUGCUCUCGGGUGACGAGCGGCGGACGGGUGAGUAAUGUCUGGGAAACUGCCUGAUGGAGGGGGAUAACUACUGGAAACGGUAGCUAAUACCGCAUAAUGUCGCAAGACCAAAGUGGGGGACCUUCGGGCCUCAUGCCAUCAGAUGUGCCCAGGUGGGAUUAGCUAGUAGGUGGGGUAACGGCUCACCUAGGCGACGAUCCCUAGCUGGUCUGAGAGGAUGACCAGCCACACUGGAACUGAGACACGGUCCAGACUCCUACGGGAGGCAGCAGUGGGGAAUAUUGCACAAUGGGCGCAAGCCUGAUGCAGCCAUGCCGCGUGUGUGAAGAAGGCCUUCGGGUUGUAAAGCACUUUCAGCGGGGAGGAAGGCGGUGAGAUUAAUAACCUUGUCGAUUGACGUUACCCGCAGAAGAAGCACCGGCUAACUCCGUGCCAGCAGCCGCGGUAAUACGGAGGGUGCAAGCGUUAAUCGGAAUUACUGGGCGUAAAGCGCACGCAGGCGGUCUGUCAAGUCGGAUGUGAAAUCCCCGGGCUCAACCUGGGAACUGCAUUCGAAACUGGCAGGCUAGAGUCUUGUAGAGGGGGGUAGAAUUCCAGGUGUAGCGGUGAAAUGCGUAGAGAUCUGGAGGAAUACCGGUGGCGAAGGCGGCCCCCUGGACAAAGACUGACGCUCAGGUGCGAAAGCGUGGGGAGCAAACAGGAUUAGAUACCCUGGUAGUCCACGCCGUAAACGAUGUCGAUUUGGAGGUUGUGCCCUUGAGG
rnacentral:rRNA from 1 species